CAAUAGCGUAUAUUAAAGUUGUUGCAGUUAAAAGCUCGUAGUUGGAUUUCGGAGUGGGCCAGUUGGUCCGCCGCAAGGUGUGUUACUGACUGGUUUGCUCUUCUUCGCAAAGACUGCGUGUGCUCUUGAGUGAGUGUGCGUAGAAUUUACGACGUUUACUUUGAAAAAUUAGAGUGUUCAAAGCAGGCUAUUGCUUGAAUACAUGAGCAUGGAAUAAUGGAAUAGGACUUUGGUCCCAUUUUGUUGGUUUCUAUGGGCCGAAGUAAUGAUUGAUAGGGACGGUUGGGGGGCGUCAGUAUUCUGAAGCGAGAGGUGAAAUUCUUGGACCUUCGGAAGACUAACAACUGCGAAAGCAUUCGCCUAGGAUGUUCUCUUUAAUCAAGAACGAAAGUUGGGGGAUCGAAGAUGAUCAGAUAC
rnacentral:rRNA from 1 species